rnacentral:rRNA from 1 species
UUUAAAUUGAGAGUUUGAUCCUGGCUCAGGAUGAACGCUGGUGGCGUGCCUAAUACAUGCAAGUCGUACGCUAGCCGCUGAAUUGAUCCUUCGGGUGAAGUGAGGCAAUGACUAGAGUGGCGAACUGGUGAGUAACACGUAAGAAACCUGCCCUUUAGUGGGGGAUAACAUUUGGAAACAGAUGCUAAUACCGCGUAACAACAAAUCACACAUGUGAUCUGUUUGAAAGGUCCUUUUGG